GGGAAUGUAGCUCAGUGGUAGAGCAUUUGCCUAUCAUGCAACAAAGUCCUUGGUUCAAUCCCCGGUAUCAUUA
rfam:Heterocephalus glaber contig239837, whole genome shotgun sequence.